rnacentral:rRNA from 1 species
GACGAACGCUGGCGGCGUGCCUAACACAUGCAAGUCGAGCGGGGACAUUGGAGCUUCGGUUCUGAUGUUCUAGCGGCGGACGGGUGAGUAACGCGUGAGCAAUCUGUCCCAUACAGGGGGAUAACAGCUGGAAACAGCUGCUAAUACCGCAUGAGACCACAACGUCACAUGACGAAGGGGUCAAAGGAGCAAUCCGGUAUGGGGUGAGCUCGCGUCCCAUUAGGUAGUUGGUGAGGUAACGGCCCACCAAGCCGACGAUGGGUAGCCGACCUGAGAGGGUGAUCGGCCACACUGGAACUGAGACACGGUCCAGACUCCUACGGGAGGCAGCAGUGGGGAAUAUUGGGCAAUGGGCGAAAGCCUGACCCAGCAACGCCGCGUGAGGGAAGAAGGUUUUCGGAUUGUAAACCUCUGUCCUUGGUGACGAAGGAAGUGACGGUAGCCAAGGAGGAAGCCCCGGCUAACUACGUGCCAGCCGCCGCCGUAAC